rnacentral:rRNA from 1 species
CACGUAGGGCGCAAGCGUUGUCCGGAAUUAUUGGGCGUAAAGAGCUCGUAGGCGGUCUGUUGCGUCCGCUGUGAAAACCCAGGGCUUAACCCUGCGCUGGCAGUGGAUACGGACAGACUAGAGGUAGGUAGGGGAGAAUGGAAUUCCCGGUGUAGCGGUGAAAUGCGCAGAUAUCGGGAGGAACACCGGUGGCGAAGGCGGGUCUCUGGGCCGAUACUGACGCUGAGGAGCGAAAGCGUGGGGAGCGAACAGG